GAGCUGUGAUGAGAUCAAAGAUUGUCAUGCACCACUCUGAUUUGCUGUGCUGAUAAACUUUCUUUUACCCAUUUAUUCUCUGAGCUC